rnacentral:rRNA from 1 species
AAACCAACAGGGAUUGCCUCAGUAGCGGCGAGUGAAGCGGCAAGAGCUCAGAUUUGAAAUCUCACCUAGUGUGCGAGUUGUAAAUUGCAGGUUGGAGUCUCGGGUUAGACGUGUGUGCAAGUCCCUUGGAACAGGGUGCCACUGAGGGUGAGAGCCCCGUANCGUGCAUGUCGACACCUGUGAGGCCCUUCUGACGAGUCGAGUUGUUUGGGAAUGCAGCUCUAAGUGGGUGGUAAAUUCCAUCUAAGGCUAAAUAUUGGCGAGAGACCGAUAGCGAACAAGUACUGUGAAGGAAAGAUGAAAAGCACUUUGAAAAGAGAGUGAAACAGCACGUGAAAUUGUUGAAAGGGAAGGGUAUUGGGCUCGACAUGGGAUUUACGCAUCGUUGCCUCUCGUGGGCGGCGCUCUGGGUUUUUCCUGGGCCAGCAUCGGUUUUCGUUGCAGGAUAAGGACAAUUGGAAUGUGGCUCCUCGGAGUGUUAUAGCCUUUUGUAGAUGCUGCGUAUGGGGACCGAGGGCUGCGGCGGACUCGUUUCGUCUCGGAUGCUGGCACAACGGCGCAAUACCGC